UACGAAGGGGCUAGCGUUGCUCGGAAUCACUGGGCGUAAAGCGCACGUAGGCGGAUUGUUAAGUCAGGGGUGAAAUCCUGGAGCUCAACUCCAGAACUGCCUUUGAUACUGGCGAUCUCGAGUCCGGGAGAGGUGAGUGGAACUGCGAGUGUAGAGGUGAAAUUCGUAGAUAUUCGCAAAGAACACCAGUGGCGAAGGCGGCUCACUGGAUCGGUACUGACGCUGAGGUGCGAAAGCGUGGGAGCAAACAGGG
rnacentral:rRNA from 1 species